rnacentral:lncRNA from 1 species
GGAUAAGAAGAUGCGAGAAGCGAGGCUGAGGUGGUUCGGGCAUGUGCGGAGAAGAAGUCCCGACGCCCCGGUGAGGAGCUGCGAGCGGCUGGAUAUUGUUGGCGGUCGGCGAGGAAGAGGGAGGCCUAAGAAGCAUUAGGGAGAGGUGAUUAGGCAGGACAUGACUAGAAUGCAGGUUUCCGAGAACAUGACCGUUGAUAGGAAAGUCUGGAGGUCUAGAAUCAGGGUCAUAGGAUAGGGGCUCCUAGUGUUUUUCGUACGCCUCAUCCGGGGUUGGGAGUGGGUCAGCAGGGUUACCCAUAGAUGAUUUGUNNN